AUUGAACGCUGGCGGCAGGCUUAACACAUGCAAGUCGAGCGGAGAGAGGUAGCUUGCUACUGAUCUUAGCGGCGGACGGGUGAGUAAUGCUUAGGAAUCUGCCUAUUAGUGGGGGACAACAUUUCGAAAGGAAUGCUAAUACCGCAUACGUCCUACGGGAGAAAGCAGGGGAUCUUCGGACCUUGCGCUAAUAGAUGAGCCUAAGUCGGAUUAGCUAGUUGGUGGGGUAAAGGCCUACCAAGGCGACGAUCUGUAGCGGGUCUGAGAGGAUGAUCCGCCACACUGGGACUGAGACACGGCACAGACUCCUACGGGAGGCAGCAGUGGGGAAUAUUGGACAAUGGGCGCAAGCCUGAUCUAGCCAUGCCGCGUGUGUGAAGAAGGCCUUAUGGUUGUAAAGCACUUUAAGCGAGGAGGAGGCUACUUUAGUUAAUACCUAGAGAUAGUGGACGUUACUCGCAGAAUAAGCACCGGCUAACUCUGUGCCAGCCGCCGCAGUAACAC
rnacentral:rRNA from 1 species